rnacentral:rRNA from 1 species
UACGUGGGGUGCGAGCGUUGUCCGGAAUUAUUGGGCGUAAAGAGCUCGUAGGCGGUGUGUCACGUCGGCCGUGAAAACCUGGGGCUUAACUCUGGGCGUGCGGUCGAUACGGGCAUCACUAGAGUUCGGCAGGGGAGACUGGAAUUCCUGGUGUAGCGGUGAAAUGCGCAGAUAUCAGGAGGAACACCGGUGGCGAAGGCGGGUCUCUGGGCCGAUACUGACGCUGAGGAGCGAAAGCAUGGGUAGCGAACAGG